rnacentral:lncRNA from 1 species
UUAUCUGUUUUGCUCUGUUCAUCAGCAGAGCUGCCCAUCGUUUGCCUAGUUCCAAUCAGAUAUCAGCUAUAGUCAUUGUCUUGCUGGUGAUAUCAUCAAAAAGACGAGAUCUUUCGUCUUCUUCUCCGUUCUUCUCCGAUCUGCAAAGCUCGAUCUUUUGCUCGCCAAAUCCAAUCCCUGUACCUCUCUCUUUAAUUGGACGAAGUGUCAGGAAGAGGCCAAGAAGGAGUCAAGAGCCACCAGUCUCCGGCCACCAAGUGGGUGGCGAGUUACGGGC